UGGGGAAUAUUGCGCAAUGGGGGAACCCGUGGACGCAGCAACGCCGCGUGAAGGAUGAAGGCUUUCGGGUUGUAAACUUCUUUGAUGAGGGACGAAAGAAAUGACGGUACCUCAAAAACAAGCCACGGCUAACUACGUGCCAGCAGCCGCGGUAAUACGUAGGUGGCGAGCGUUGUCCGGAAUUACUGGGUGUAAAGGGCGUGUAGGCGGGGAUGCAAGUCAGAUGUGAAAUGCCGGGGCUUAACUCCGGAGCUGCAUCUGAAACUGUGUUUCUUGAGUGUCGGAGAGGAAAGCGGAAUUCCCAGUGUAGCGGUGAAAUGCGUAGAUAUUGGGAGGAACACCAGUGGCGAAGGCGGCUUUCUGGACGAUAACUGACGCUGAGGCGCGAAAGCGUGGGGAGCAAACAGGAUUAGAUACCCUGGUAGUCCACGCUGUAAACGAUGGAUACUAGGUGUAGGAGGUAUCGACCCCUUCUGUGCCGGAGUUAACACAAUAAGUAUCCCACCUGGGGAGUACGGCCGCAAGGUUGAAACUCAAAUGAAUUGAC
rnacentral:rRNA from 1 species